AUUAAAUUAAUAAACAUUUAUUACAAUACAUAACAAAUUUUCACUUUUGUCUUGUUCCUGGGUUAAAACCAUAAUUUCCCAUUUCUUCACAACCAAUCAAAAGA